AGCUGGGCCAGGGAUUUAGCUCAGUGGUUCCCGUGCCUGCCUCAAAAAUGCAAGGUCCCAAGUUUGAUCCCUGGUACAAUAAAUAAAUAAAGACAGACAGACAGCUGAAGAUUGAGGGAGACUGAGAAGUGAAAGAGAAAGGAACAAAGGAAGAAGAGAAGUCUAAAGCUACUGGCUUGAAGGCCUCCAAGCCCUUAAGAAGCCUCCAGCUCAUCCAUCUUAGGAAGCCUAGAAGCACCUGCAGCAGCACAGCAGCCUCGCUCUCAAGGCCUGUGGGGAGGAGUCUGUGUCUCAAGGCCUGUGGAGAGGUGGGGCUCUGCAGUCUCUGUCCUCUAUUGGCCUCCUUACUUCUGGGAACACUGUGGGUCACAGAAGAGGAAGCUUGGCAGAGGUCAGGCUUGGAGUUUACAUUCAGUUCUGCAAACAUUACCCAUUCGACUUCUCAGCACCAGGCAUUCAGGUAGACAGGAGGCAGGAGGCCUGUCCAAUGGGGAUGGAGAAAUCUUGCUCCAGCAAAAGAAGUAGGGACUGAAAUUUGGCCUUGGAGGAGAAUGGAGAGAGCAUAUGGGGCCCUGAAAAGUGGUGGCGAGGAUGCUGCAGGCAAGAAGGGUCAAAGCUGGAUGGUUCUGGUCAUGUGCCUUGCGCCAGAAAGAUAUCGAAUUCGGGUCCUUACUCUUGCAAGGGAGACGGUGGAACAACUGAGCUAAAUCCCUGGCCCACGGCUGUGAUAAUUUCUAAUCACUGUUAGUUGAUAAUGUGGGUCACAGUGAUGACAACCCCACAAGGAUUCAUAAUCACAGACCCCAUCUUUGGGGGUUCUUUGGGUGAAGGAAGAAGGGAGAAGGAUGGCCUGAGUGCAAUGCCACCCUGGGUUCCAAAGGAGGAACAAAAUAAAACACCCAUGCAGAUCUGGAAUCUUUUUGGAAACCAACUCCGCCCCAUCUUCUGGUGCCAGAACAGAAAUGUAGAGCCAUUUCUGGACAGCCACACAGCAAAGCAGCGAGAAGCUGGGAAGCCCCCUGUCCGGAUCCUCUUCUCUUCUCUGGGUGUGAUCACAGAGAAAAGGGUGGGAUUGGGGAGAGCUGGGAGAAGACCCCGCCCAGCCAGCCCAGAUCCAAAUGUGCACGUGAUGGAACUGUCUGCACAGCCAAGGACCCCUCCCUCCCGAGGAGAAAAUCCCACAACUGGGGAACAUCUGGAUCAAACCACAGCCAUGAAAGCACAACAUCAAACGAGGGUUUCUGAGCAACCCUCCCAACAGGCCCUGGUCCAAGAGAAAAUGCAGAUCUUCCUGCUUGAAGCUUUUAAGUGUCACAGAACCCCUGAGUUUGGGAUCUCUCCUUAUUCACAGGAGACAGAUGUCCCGAGUGAGGAUGGUUGGGUUUGA
rnacentral:lncRNA from 1 species